rnacentral:rRNA from 1 species
CAGCAGCCGCGGGAAUACGGAGGAUCCAAGCGUUAUCCGGAUUUAUUGGGUUUAAAGGGUGCGUAGGUGGCCUGUUAAGUCAGGGGUGAAAGACGGUAGCUCAACUAUCGCAGUGCCUUUGAUACUGACGGGCUUGAAUGAACUAGAGGUAGGCGGAAUGUGACAAGUAGCGGUGAAAUGCAUAGAUAUGUCACAGAACACCAAUUGCGAAGGCAGCUUACUAUGGUUUUAUUGACACUGAGGCACGAAAGCGUGGGGAUCAAACAGGAUUAGAUACCCCAGUAGUCCCUGUCUCUUAUAC